GAACAAAUUGAUGAUUCAAAGUUUGUUCUGAAGAGAUCUGAAAUGGCAAAACCACCAGUUCUGUGACUAGAAUUCUGAGAAACUGAAAUAGCCUAGUGAUUUUGUCUGAUAUAUUUAGAGUAGAAAUGUUGUAUUUUUAAGAAAAUAAAAUAUAAGAUGUAGCAGUGGUACAAUCCCCCAAGUUCCCUUCGAAGUCCUUACAGUUGUAUGUAUCACUCCAAAAUGAGAAAGACUGGUAGCAAAACAUUAACAUACUGCAAGACAGAAGUAAUUUAACAUGUGGUAUAAAACAGUAGAGACUUGCUAGUUUCCCUUGUGCUCUGUUCAUAUAUUCCAGGCUUGGAACAAGAAGAAAGCAUUAGGACUUCAAUAAAAGUCGGAGAAGCAGGAGCGAUGUUCAUAGACAACGAGCCCCUAAAACACGGUUCUGUGCGUCCAGACGAGCGUGACCUUUUCACAGCAGAAGCAGUGGCAUGUUUUCACCUUAUCUUCACCACACCUGUUCAAAUCACUUCAGUGCCAAGCCCUUCUCCCUCCAACAAUUACACACUAUCAACCUCCUCCAAAACCAUUCGCCAACAAAAUUGGUAUUUUCUUCCCUUCUUCUCUUUCAUUCCUUUCCCAUUCCAGUUCUAAAUCCUUCCAUAUGGACUAGAGAUAGCCACAAUGCACCUGCCAAUUGGGAAGACAAGCAUCCAGCAUCUUCAAACAAUGCCCAGUGCUUUGUCUAAAACAUGGCAAAACACAGUGUGUUCAUUCUUUGAAUGUUGCACUUCCUUGUAUGGCACUGUCGAUGUUUGUGUGUGAUAAAUAAAAGGCUCCCUAUCCUCCG
rnacentral:lncRNA from 1 species